GAUGAACGCUGGCGGCGUGCCUAAUACAUGCAAGUCGAGCGAACGGACGAGAAGCUUGCUUUUCUGAUGUUAGCGGCGGACGGGUGAGUAACACGUGGAUAACCUACCUAUAAGACUGAGAUAACUUCGGGAAACCGGAGCUAAUACCGGAUAAUAUUUUGAACCGCAUGGUUCAAAAGUGAAAGACGGUCUUGCUGUCACUUAUAGAUGGAUCCGCGCUGCAUUAGCUAGUUGGUAAGGUAACGGCUUACCAAGGCAACGAUGCAUAGCCGACCUGAGAGGGUGAUCGGCCACACUGGAACUGAGACACGGUCCAGACUCCUACGGGAGGCAGCAGUAGGGAAUCUUCCGCAAUGGGCGAAAGCCUGACGGAGCAACGCCGCGUGAGUGAUGAAGGUCUUCGGAUCGUAAAACUCUGUUAUUAGGGAGGAACAUAUGUGUAAGUAACUGUGCACAUCUUGACGGUACCUAAUCGGAAAGCCACGGCUAACUACGUG
rnacentral:rRNA from 1 species